GAUGAACGCUGGCGGCGUGCCUAAUACAUGCAAGUCGAGCGAACGGACGAGAAGCUUGCUUCUCUCAUGUUAGCGGCGGACGGGUGAGUAACACGUGGAUAACCUACCUAUAAGACUGGGAUAACUUCGGGAAACCGGAGCUAAUACCGGAUAAUAUUUUGAACCGCAUGGUUCAAAAGUGAAAGACGGUCUUGCUGUCACUUAUAGAUGGAUCCGCGCUGCAUUAGCUAGUUGGUAAGGUAACGGCUUACCAAGGCAACGAUGCAUAGCCGACCUGAGAGGGUGAUCGGCCACACUGGAACUGAGACACGGUCCAGACUCCUACGGGAGGCAGCAGUAGGGAAUCUUCCGCAAUGGGCGAAAGCCUGACGGAGCAACGCCGCGUGAGUGAUGAAGGUCUUCGGAUCGUAAAACUCUGUUAUUAGGGAAGAACAUAUGUGUAAGUAACUGUGCACAUCUUGACGGUACCUAAUCAGAAGGCCACGGCUAACUACGUG
rnacentral:rRNA from 1 species